GAUGAACGCUGGCGGCGUGCCUAAUACAUGCAAGUCGAGCGAACGGACGAGAAGCUUGCUUUUCUGAUGUUAGCGGCGGACGGGUGAGUAACACGUGGAUAACCUACCUAUAAGACUGGGAUAACUUCGGGAAACCGGAGCUAAUACCGGAUAAUAUUUUGAACCGCAUGGUUCAAAAGUGAAAGACGGUCUUGCUGUCACUUAUAGAUGGAUCCGCGCUGCAUUAGCUAGUUGGUAAGGUAACGGCUUACCAAGGCAACGAUGCAUAGCCGACCUGAGAGGGUGAUCGGCCACACUGGAACUGAGACACGGUCCAGACUCCUACGGGAGGCAGCAGUAGGGAAUCUUCCGCAAUGGGCGAAAGCCUGACGGAGCAACGCCGCGUGAGUGAUGAAGGUCUGCGGAUCGUAAAACUCUGUUAUUAGGGAAGAACAUAUGUGUAAGUAACUGUGCACAUCUUGACGGUACCUAAUCAGAAAGCCACGGCUAACUACGUG
rnacentral:rRNA from 1 species